rnacentral:lncRNA from 1 species
UGCAACUGAACAAUAAGCAGAUCUUGAGUAGGAAUGGGGGCUGAAGUGCUCAGUGUGCACAGCCAUGGGCUGACACUCACAAAUACAAAUUAUAUUCUUGUCUCUAUGGUGGACACUGAUCAUGUAUUCCCAUAUGCUCUUCUUUUUUCCACCUGCAAGUUCUCCACAGAGGGCAGAGCAGUGUCUGGGGUGGCUGACUGGCCAGGGACUGCCAAGCAAAUUCAUUGUGAUGUUGCAAAUCUGAAAUCACGCAGGGGCUGAACUUGCAGCCUCGCUCUGGCUCAGCAAAAUAUGUGGAUUAGGACCAGGCCCAGCCACCCAGCCUAAGAGCACUCGAUGAGAGGGAAGCAGCCCCUGCCUGGGCCUGUCAGACAGCCCUGUGACAAAUGGCCUCAAGGCCAGAGAGCAACUCUGUCAAAGCAGGCCCUGAGACUUGGCUAGUAGCUCCCCAAGGCCAGGACAGAACUCAGCCAGGGCCUCGAGGCUUAGUGGACACUCAGUGCUACAGUACACAGCCUACUGGAAUUUGUCUCUGAAAUAUAUUUAAUCACAUAGGAAAAAGAAUGGAGUAGAGAGUUUCCUUUGGUAAGAUUUUGACCAGAAUAUGUGCCUUGAUAUGCAUUAGAGAAGAUGGAAAGGGCUGAUGUAGAUGCAGCUCAGAUGGGUAAAUGUACCCAGUUAUCACAACUGUGCUGCUCGUUGCCAUUAGCCUGCUUUCUAUCACACCCUGUGCAUGGAUAUGGUCUGUGGCUGUGUAAUACCCAACAGCCCUUCAGAAAACUUGAAGAACAGCAACAAUUGCUACAGUGGAAGCAGAAGAACAAGAAUGGAAGCAACUUUCAUCUUUCUGACUCAUUAACUCUGAAAUGAGGAGAUAUCGUGAUUGGUCAUGAAGGUGCCUCAGAGAAUCUAAAAGCUGCAAGGAAGAAACAAUAAUUAGUUUUCAUUUUUGUGUCUUCCUUUUAUUUUAUCUUUUGCUUCAGGGAAACAUGCCAGGAAGACUUUAUUCAAAACGAACUGCAUCUAAAUUUCAAAUAAAGCUCAAGAAUAAUUGUAACUUUUGUCA